CAGCUAGUGGAUGACUAGGCUCGAGCACUGAUUAAGGACGUGGCAAGCUGCGAUAAGCUUUGGCGAGAAGCAUGCAUUCGUUGAACCAAAGAUAUCUGAAUUAUUCAGUAAUGAAAGGGAACCCGGUGAACUGAAUCAUCUAAGUAACCGGAGGAAAAGAAAACAAUAGUGAUUCCCCAAUACGAGGCGAUCAAAAGGGGAACAGGACAAGCCGAAUCUACUACCGUGAGGUAGUUGAGUUGUGGUGCUGGUCAUAGGUUUUCUUGUGAGAAGAAGUUUUUUGGAACAUAACACCAAAGAGGGUGAUAGUCCCGUACUUGAAGCAAGAAAAGUUAAUUUCCAGUAAGAGAGUACUGUGCAUGGUUGUGCGCAGGAAUAUGGGUGCAUUAACAUCCAAUCCUAAAUAUGACUCGAGACCGAUAGAGAAUUAGUACCGCGAGGGAACGUUGAAAAGUAUCCUUAAUAGGAGCUGAAAAGCACCUGAAACUAGCUGGUUACGGGGAGGCAUGGCGUGAAAGGAAAGGCUUACGUGACAAUUAUCGAGAGGUAGUUGGUAAAGUAAGUUCCAGCGUUGUGUCGUACGUCGUGAAGCACGAGCGAGGGAAUUUGUUGUAGUGGCGAGGUUAACUCUUUUCAAGGAGGCAACCGAAGCGAAAGCAAGAGAACGCAACUCAUUUAUUUGAGUGAGGUUCAGACUUGGUAGGUUAAGUCACUACGAUCAGACCUGAAACCAGAUGACAUAAUCUUUGGCAGGUUGAAGCCGCCCUUCAAGGUGGUGGAAGACCGCAACUAGUGUUAGUCUAUCUACUUAGGUGACCUGAGAUUAGGCGUAAUAAGCGAAUCGAAUCUGGUGAUAGCAGGCUCCUCUUGAAAUAUCUCUGAGGAUAGCCUCGUCGGAGAAUGAGUAUGGUGUAGAGAUACUGGUUAAAAAGUGUUGCCCGGAAACGGGUAGCUUUUUUCCCAAACUCCGAAUCUAUACUCUUCGUAGAAGACGGGAGUAGGGGCAUAGGCGUAAGGUUUAUGUCCGUAAGGGAAAGAACCCAGCUUCGCGUUAAGGCCCUUAAAUGUUGGUUAAGUGUUAAGAAAGUGUGUCGUCGUUCUAAAACAGUUGGGAGGUAGGCUUAGAAGUAGCCAUCCUUUAAAGAAAGUGUAACAGCUCACCAACCUAGAUCCAUGGCCGCGAAAAUGAUCAGGGCUAAAACCAACUGCCGAUACGUGAAAAUUGUUGCAGUAGUAACAAUUUGUAAGGAGGUGCACGGAUUGCACAGAAGCUUCUUCGUAAGGAGGAGUGGAGCAGUUUGUGAUAUGGAUCCUCGCACUAGUAGUAACGAUAGAACUGUGAGAAUCAGUUCCGCCGAAAGGACUAGGGUUUCUUAGCGCUCAUUAUGAGCUAAGAGUUAGUCGGUCCUAAGUCGUCCCCUAACUGGGGUAACGACGAAUGGGAAACGCGUUCAUAGUCGCGUACUUUUUACAUAAAUUUGGCGACAAUAGAUAUGUUUUUGACAUAUUGGGCUAUCUGAAGUCUCACCGUCGUGAGAUCUAACAAGGAUAACUCUGUGGAGAGCUGUAAUGGCGAGAAGCAGAAUAAACUUGGAGUGGCAGAGAUGUUUUGGAAAGGCCUGGUGUCCGUGAAAAAAGAAUAUAUGUGAUUGUAAAAAACCGUACCCAGAACUAGGAAAAGUGCUCCUGGUUGAAAAGACUAAGGCGUAUUGGGGGAAUCAACUUUAGGGAAUUCGGCAAUCUAGCCCUGUAUCUUCGGUAUAAGGGGUGCCUGCAUAGUAGUAUGUAGGUUUCAAUGACAAGGGGUGUCCGACUGUUUCUCAAAAACACAGGUGCCUGCUAGCCAGUAAUGGUUUGUAUAGGUGCUGACUUCUGCUCACUGCCAGUAGGUGAAAAUCUGUUCCAACGGAUCUAAGCCCUGGUGAAGAGCGGGCCUAACUCUGAGGCUCUCACGGUAGCGUAAUACCUUGCCCGUUUAUUGCGGGCUUGCACCAAGGAAGUAAUGAGAUACCUGCUGUCCCAAAGUUGAACCCAAUGAACUUACUUCGCUGUGUAUAUGCUGCGGAACUCCAACGGGAAGAGAAGACCCCACGGAAGUUUACUACAGCCUGAUGUUGUGGUAUAGUUUCUUGUGUAUAGCGUAGUUGGUAGCAUUCGAUGCAAUUUCGUCAGGAAUUGUUGAUGCAAAAGUGUAACACCAACCUCAAGAAAGUAUACUGCUUACCUCGCAAGGGGGACACCAUUUGGUGGGUAGUUUGGCUGGGGCGGCACGCUCCUGAAAAGAUAUCAGGAGCGCCCAAAGGUCUGCUCAUUCGAGUCAGAAAUUCGAAGUAGAGUGCAAGAGCAAAAGCAGGCUUAACUGUGAUCCUAACAGCACGGAUCGCAGGAAGGAAACUUUGGUCUAGCGAACGCUAGUGUUGCCACUUAAUAGGGCCCUAGUCUAACAAUGAACCUAUCCUGGGGGUAAUUGAGUUGUCGCGAGUAAGAGUUCACAUCGACCUCGCGGUUUGCUACCUCGCCGUCGUCUCAUGGCAUCCUGGUUGUGCAUAAGCAGCCAAGGGUGGAGGGGUUUACUCAUUAAAGCCGUACGUUAGUUGGGUUAAGAACGGUGCGAGCCAGUUUGGAUACUAUCUGUUGGAGUUGUCGAUUGAUUGAGGGGAAGAUGCCACGAGUACGAGAGGAACAUGGCGUCGUAGCCUCUAGUGUACCAGUUGUCUGACAAGGCAACGCUGGGUAGCCACGCUAUAUUGGAUAAGAGCUGAAAGCAUCUAAGCACGAAGCCAUCCCUAAAAAGAAUCAAUCAU
rnacentral:rRNA from 1 species